UACGUAGGGUGCAAGCGUUGUCCGGAAUUAUUGGGCGUAAAGAGCUCGUAGGCGGUUUGUCGCGUCGAAUGUGAAAACCCGGGGCUCAACCCCGGGCCUGCAUUCGAUACUGGCAGACUAGAGUUCGGUAGGGGAGUCUGGAAUUCCUGGUGUAGCGGUGAAAUGCGCAGAUAUCAGGAGGAACACCGGUGGCGAAGGCGGGACUCUGGGCCGAUACUGACGCUGAGGAGCGAAAGCGUGGGGAGCGAACAGG
rnacentral:rRNA from 1 species